AUACGAACCGUACGAACGUUAUUCGGAAUCACUGGGCUUAAAGAGUUCGUAGGCGGCUCGGAAGGUUGGGUGUGAAAUCCCACAGCUCAACUGUGGAACUGCGCUCAAAACCGUCGGGCUUGAGGGAGACAGGGGUGAGCGGAACAGAUGGUGGAGGGGUGAAAUGCGUUGAUAUCAUCUGGAACACCGGUGGCGAAGGCGGCUCACUGGGUCUCUUCUGACGCUGAGGAACGAAAGCUAGGGGAGCGAACGGGAUUAGAUACCCCAGUAGUCC
rnacentral:rRNA from 1 species